UCCGGCAUAGCUCAGCGGUAGAGUAGGUGGCUGUUAACCACUUGGUCGCUGGUUCGAGCCCAGCUGCCGGAGCCA
rnacentral:tRNA from 2 species